rnacentral:lncRNA from 1 species
UCUGUUAUGACUCAUAGAUCUUCAAUUUCCCCCAAAUUCUUUGCUUUCUGAGAAGAGUGGUUGGACCGAUCAUAUCCUUCAAGAUGGUAGACACUGAAACGCGAUGAAGUACAAAUAACUCAGACUGUAGUCUUCGCUUUAAUCCCUACUUUGCCUGGACCGCCUUUUCAGGUUUUCAAUCCACCGGGAUACCCAUUUUUGCCUAAGCCGCCUUUUCAGGUUUUCGACUUAUCGGGUGUACAUAUUAUUUUUAUUCUUUAUCCCUAACUUUUUCCUGAACCUUUUUUUUCUUUUUCUCUUGGUUCGCCGGGAUGCCCUUUUU